rnacentral:rRNA from 1 species
UCCAGACUCCUACGGGAGGCAGCAGUAGGGAAUCUUCCACAAUGGGCGAAAGCCUGAUGCAGCAACGCCGCGUGAGUGAAGAAGUAUUUCGGUAUGUAAAGCUCUCUCAGCAGGGAAGAAGAUGACGGUACCUGACCAAGAAGCCCCGGCUAACUACGUGCCAGCAGCCGCGGUAAUACGUAGGGGGCAAGCGUUAUCCGGAUUUACUGGGUGUAAAGGGAGCGCAGACGGCAGUGCAAGUCUGGAGUGAAAGCCCGGGGCCCAACCCCGGAACUGCUCUGGAAACUGUGCGGCUAGAGUACUGGAGGGGCAGGCGGAAUUCCUAGUGUAGCGGUGAAAUGCGUAGAUAUUAGGAGGAACACCAGUGGCGAAGGCGGCCUGCUGGACAGUAACUGACGUUGAGGCUCGAAAGCGUGGGGAGCAAACAGGAUUAGAUACCCCUGUACU